UACGAAGGGGGCUAGCGUUGCUCGGAAUCACUGGGCGUAAAGCGCACGUAGGCGGAUUGUUAAGUCAGGGGUGAAAUCCUGGAGCUCAACUCCAGAACUGCCUUUGAUACUGGCGAUCUUGAGUCCGGGAGAGGUGAGUGGAACUGCGAGUGUAGAGGUGAAAUUCGUAGAUAUUCGCAAGAACGCCAGUGGCGAAGGCGGCUCACUGGCCCGGUACUGACGCUGAGGUGCGAAAGCGUGGGGAGCAAACAGGG
rnacentral:rRNA from 1 species